rnacentral:rRNA from 1 species
AAAGAAGCCAUAAAAAUAGUUGGAAAAAUCAAUCAUCAUAAGAAAACCGACCGUUUCCACGCAGCUGGAAGCGGUCGGUUUUUCAUAAGAUAGAAAAUGGAGGAGGGUGUCUGAAUUCCGGCGAUUUCUUUCUUUUUUGCCGGAGAAAGGAAAAACUCGGUUUGCAGGAUUGUCUCUUUUCUUGUCAGGGGAAUCGCCCCGUGUUGAUAGAUUGCAGUCGUGGAAUCAUGUUGAAUUUAGCAAAAUAAAAUUAAGAGAGCGGCAGCCGAUUGUGUGGCGGUUGUUCGCUAUGUACAUUCUGCUGCGGAACAGGAAUCCGAAUCCGGUAUUCGAUGUGCGUAUCAGAUUGCAAUUUUUGUGCAUCAGCAGAAAUGCCAGCAGCCUGCAUGGUUUCGACUGCCUGAUGAAUGGUGUGGGCGAAUGCCCGAACAUUCUGAAAGACGGUGUUCCGUUUCCGAUAUGGUUCUCUGGAGGGAUGCUGUCCAAUUUUUUCUUCGACCGCAGCCUCUGUUUUUUCCACGUUCAGGUUCUGCUUAAUCACUUUAUCGAGAAUCUGAAGGCGUUCUUCCGGUGCUCGCAGGCGGAGUAAAGCCCGAGCAUGACGUUCCGUCAGGUUAUAUUGCAGGAUGAUGUCCCGUUCGGUUUCUGUCAGGCGGAGCAGCCGCAGUUUAUUUGCAAUAGUGCUUUGUGCCUUGCCCAGCUUUGCAGCAGCAUCUUCCUGUGUCAUACCGUAGUGGGAAAUUAGCCGUUCAAUGGCACUUGCUUCCUCGAAGAACGAGAGGUUUUGUUGCUGGAUUUGUUCAACCAGUGCUAAAAUUUCCGCACCGCGGGAAUGAUUGUCCGAGAGAAUACAGGGAACAAUCUGCAAGCCUGCUAAUUUUGCAGCUUGAAACUGUUCGCUGCCGGAUACCAGUUCAUACCGUUGGUCUGCGUUUUUCCGAACGGGGAACGGCUGGAGAAUGCCAGUCUGUGUAAUGCGGUUAACACCCCAGAUCAACCGCUAAGGUCCCCAAGUUCACGUUAAGUGGAGAAGGAUGUGGAAUUGCACAGACAACCAGGAUGUUGGCUCAGAAGCAGCCACACAUUUAAAGAGUGCGUAAUAGCUCACUGGUCGAGUGAUUGUGCGCCGAAGAUGUCCGGGGCUAAACGUGACACCGAAGCGAUGGGUGCAUCUGAAAGGAUGCGCGGUAGAGGAGCAAUGUGCAGAGGCAGAAGCCGUAUCGAGAGGCACGGUGGACACUGCACAAGAGAGAAUGCCGGUAUGAGUAGCGAGAGGCAUGCGAGAAACAUGCCCGUCGAAAGCCCAAGGUUUCCUGGGGAAGGUUCAUCCGCCCAGGGUAAGUCGGGGCCUAAGCCGAGGACGGAAGUCGUAGGCGAUGGACAGCAGGUGUAGAUUCCUGCACUACCGAUGGAAUGAAGCAGUGACACAGAAGGAUAACUCGAGCAGGGUGAUGGUCAACCCUGUGCAAGCAUCAAGGUUGGGUUGUAGUGAAGUACGCAAUCCUAUAAGCUGAGGUGUGAUGCGGACCGAAAUUUCAGUAGGGAAGCGAGUGAGUUCACGCUGGCGAGAAAAGCUGCUAGUAUAUCCAAAGGUACCCGUACCGGAAACCGACGCAGGUGGGCGAGGAGAGAAUCCUGAGACGAACGGGAGAACCCUUGUUAAGGAACUCGGCAAAAUGACCCCGUAACUUCGGGAUAAGGGGUGCCUGCGAGAGCAGGCCGCAGAGAAUAGUCACAAGCGACUGUUUAGCAAAAACACAGGUAUCUGCGAAAGCGAGAGCUGACGUAUAGGUGCUGACACCUGCCCGGUGCUGGAAGGUUAAGGGAACAUGUUAGAGCAAUCGAAGCAUCGAACCGAAGCCCCAGUAAACGGCGGCCGUAACUAUAACGGUCCUAAGGUAGCGAAAUUCCUUGUCGGGUAAGUUCCGACCCGCACGAAUGGUGUAACGACUUGUGAGCUGUCUCAACAGGGGGCCCGGUGAAAUUGAAGUAUGGGUGAAGAUGCCCAUUACCCGCGACUGGACGGAGAGACCCCGUAGAGCUUUACUGCAGCCUGAUAUUGAGUUUCGGUAACUGAUGCACAGGAUAGGUGGGAGUCUGAGAGACACGGGUUUCGGCUCGUGAGGAGACGCUGUUGGGAUACCACUCUUCGGUUACUGAAAUUCUAACAUAGCUCUGUGAAACCAGAGGAUGGACAGUGUCAGGUGGACAGUUUGACUGGGGCGGUCGCCUCCGAAAGAGUAACGGAGGCGCCCAAAGGUACCCUCAGAAUGGAUGGAAACCAUUCGAAGAGAGCAAAGUCAGAAGGGUGCUUGACUGCGAGACCAACAAGUCGAGCAGGUACGAAAGUAGGGCUUAGUGAUCCGGCGGUAAGAGAGUGGAAUUGCCGUCGCUCAACGGAUAAAAGCUACCUCGGGGAUAACAGGCUGAUCUCCCCCAAGAGUUCACAUCGACGGGGAGGUUUGGCACCUCGAUGUCGGCUCGUCACAUCCUGGGGCUGAAGCAGGUCCCAAGGGUUCGGCUGUUCGCCGAUUAAAGUGGCACGCGAGCUGGGUUCAAAACGUCGUGAGACAGUUUGGUCCCUAUCCAUCGUGGGCGUAGGAUACUUGAGAGGGCUUGUCCUUAGUACGAGAGGACCGGGAUGAACGCACCUACUGUGCACCUGUUGUCGCGCCAGCGGCAUGGCAGGGUAGCGGAGUGCGGUUGAGAUAAACGCUGAAAGCAUCUAAGCGUGAAACUCACCUCAAGAUAAGGUAUCCCAUAUCGUAAGAUAGUAAGACCCCUUGCAGACAACAAGGUUGAUAGGUCGGAGGUGGAAGUACAGUAAUGUAUGCAGCUGACCGAUACUAAUAGGUCGAGGGCUUGAUCUC